UGUUUUUUUUUAUAGUAUAUUGGACUGUUCUUUAGCAAGAACCAAACUCUUGUUGUAAUAAUCAUAGCAAUAAUAGAGACUCACUUCAUUAAAUAUCUACCUUGUAAAUUUAAAUCUAGAACACUUUCACCACCAUCGUUUUCCGAAGCAGAAAACCAAGAAAAAUGGUAAAGCCAGUGGAAAGCAAUCAAGCCCUCGGCGUUCACGUAAAAGGGAUAAAAUUGCUAAAUCUCUUAAAGCAAUGGAUACAGCACUUUCCGUUGGAAGUGCUGUAGUAAGCGUCGGGGCAAUAACGGUUGCUGCUACAGGCUGUCGUAUCAUGUAGAUGGUGGUUUGUCCUAAAUAACUUUUUUCUAUUUUAAAAAUUGCACAUUUUGAUUUUAUGAAUGCGUCGAUCUCUAUGUGAAUUGUUAAGUAAUAUUUCUUGAUAGUCUCCUUGUAAUAUCUUUGUUUUAUGUAUGAAUGCAAUGUUUCUAUAUUUUGUAAAUUAACUUAUGCACGCUGUAUUACUUUUCACUUAUUUGUAAUAAUAUUUGAUAUGGUGUGAUAUUGGA